UGGAAAUAUGAAAUGAGAGCGGGACAGCACUCCCCUUGAUUAGGAUGGAAGAAGUCCUAAUGGACUUUUAACCAUCUUUAAGACUGUCACUUACUUUGUGGCAUCUAAUGUAUAUC
rfam:Pterocles gutturalis contig88885, whole genome shotgun sequence.